AUGAAGCUGUCCGUCAUGGCGCCGAUGGCAGCGGUAUCGGAGAACCCCUGGACGCUCGACUCCGAUGACUUCUGGUCGUCGUUGCAGCCGCUGAUGGAGAUGGCGAGGCCUCCGUUGGUGCCUUUCGGCUUACCCGGACGGACGUGGUUCUCCCACUGCCAGUACCCGGUCCUUGGAUGGAUCACAGCAAAGAUUCACUCACUCGUCGUCAAGAUCAGUAGAUCAGUCACAGCACGGUCUGGAAGAAACGUUGCGGGUGCACGUAGUAGGCACGUAGUACGUACCUGGAGAGGCGGCAGAGGUAGCGGAGGUCGAGGAUGGUGCCGCUGUGGCAGGUGUCGAUGA
rnacentral:rRNA from 1 species